rnacentral:rRNA from 1 species
GAUGAACGCUGGCGGCGUGCCUAAUACAUGCAAGUCGAGCGAACAGACGAGGAGCUUGCUCCUCUGACGUUAGCGGCGGACGGGUGAGUAACACGUGGAUAACCUACCUAUAAGACUGGGAUAACUUCGGGAAACCGGAGCUAAUACCGGAUAAUAUAUUGAACCGCAUGGUUCAAUAGUGAAAGACGGUUUUGCUGUCACUUAUAGAUGGAUCCGCGCCGCAUUAGCUAGUUGGUAAGGUAACGGCUUACCAAGGCAACGAUGCGUAGCCGACCUGAGAGGGUGAUCGGCCACACUGGAACUGGAACACGGUCCAGACUCCUACGGGAGGCAGCAGUAGGGAAUCUUCCGCAAUGGGCGAAAGCCUGACGGAGCAACGCCGCGUGAGUGAUGAAGGUCUUCGGAUCGUAAAACUCUGUUAUUAGGGAAGAACAAAUGUGUAAGUAACUAUGCACGUCGUGACGGUACCUAAUCAGAAAGCCACGGCUAACUACGUG